GGUAGGAUGGCUCAGUGGUAGAGCGCUUGCCUUGCAUGCAUGAAGCCCUGGGUUCGAUUCCUCAGCACCA
rnacentral:tRNA from 1 species